AACGCGUGGGAACGUGCCCUUUGGUUCGGAAUAGCCUCGGGAAACUGGGAGUAAUACCGGAUAAGCCCCUCGGGGGAAAGAUUUAUCGCCAAAGGAUCGGCCCGCGUUGGAUUAGGUAGUUGGUGGGGUAAUGGCCUACCAAGCCGACGAUCCAUAGCUGGUUUGAGAGGAUGAUCAGCCACACUGGGACUGAGACACGGCCCAGACUCCUACGGGAGGCAGCAGUGGGGAAUCUUAGACAAUGGGGGAAACCCUGAUCUAGCCAUGCCGCGUGAGCGAUGAAGGCCUUAGGGUUGUAAAGCUCUUUCAGUGGGGAAGAUAAUGACGGUACCCACAGAAGAAGCCCCGGCUAACUCCGUGCCAGCAGCCGCGGUAAUACGGAGGGGGCUAGCGUUGUUCGGAAUUACUGGGCGUAAAGCGCACGUAGGCGGACCGGAAAGUCAGAGGUGAAAUCCCAGGGCUCAACCUUGGAACUGCCUUUGAAACUCCUGGUCUUGAGGUCGAGAGAGGUGAGUGGAAUUCCGAGUGUAGAGGUGAAAUUCGUAGAUAUUCGGAGG
rnacentral:rRNA from 1 species